UACGGGGGGGGCAAGCGUUGUUCGGAAUUACUGGGCGUAAAGGGCUCGUAGGUGGCCAACUAAGUCAGACGUGAAAUCCCUCGGCUUAACCGGGGAACUGCGUCUGAUACUGGAUGGCUUGAGUUUGGGAGAGGGACGCGGAAUUCCAGGUGUAGCGGUGAAAUGCGUAGAUAUCUGGAGGAAUACCGGUGGCGAAGGCGGCAUCCUGGACCGGCAUUGACGCUGAACAGCGAAAGCUAGGGGAGCAAACGGG
rnacentral:rRNA from 1 species